rnacentral:rRNA from 1 species
UAAGGAAUAUUGGUCAAUGGGCGGAAGCCUGAACCAGCCAUGCCGCGUGCAGGAUGACUGCCCUAUGGGUUGUAAACUGCUUUUGUCCAGGAAUAAACCUAGAUACGUGUAUCUAGCUGAAUGUACUGGAAGAAUAAGGAUCGGCUA